GGUUAAGCGACUAAGCGUACACGGUGGAUGCCCUGGCAGUCAGAGGCGAUGAAGGACGUGCUAAUCUGCGAUAAGCGUCGGUAAGGUGAUAUGAACCGUUAUAACCGGCGAUUUCCGAAUGGGGAAACCCAGUGUGUUUCGACACACUAUCAUUAACUGAAUCCAUAGGUUAAUGAGGCGAACCGGGGGAACUGAAACAUCUAAGUA
rnacentral:rRNA from 2 species